AGAGCGAACGCUGGCGGCGUGCUUAACACAUGCAAGUCGAGUGCGCGCCUGUAGCAAUACAGGUGGCGCACGGCGCACGGGUACGUAACACGUGGGUAAUCUGCCCUUCGAAGGGGAAUAACUCGCCGAAAGGCGAGCUAAUUCCGCAUAACAUUCCGAGAACUUCCGUUUUCGGAUUCAAAGGCGUAAGUCGUCGGAGGAGGAGCCCGCGCACGAUUAGCUAGUUGGUGAGGUAAUGGCUCACCAAGGCUAUGAUCGUUAGC
rnacentral:rRNA from 1 species